CAAAGUUUAAAAACCGACUGAGACAGUUACUUAUGGGAAAGCUGAACCCUUGACUUAACUGAACCCUUGGCCACUCGCUCUUAUCAUGGAGUUAGUGUGCUCUGGACAUCACUUUGCCUCCACUGACAUUCCAGGACCUAAACAUUCUAUUUCACUUUAUGCUGAUGAACAUUGGGUUUAUUUCUGAUAUUGUUGGCUCAGUUCCCCAUUGACUUUUUUGUCUUCUGCCUCAGUGAAACAGCUGUACCCACUCAUGUUUUUUUCAGCACUGUUCUCAGGCUGUUUACUGAUUCAGGCAUUAAUGUUCCCACCUCCAGCAAAUUCGGAACAUGUCUGAUCCUCUUAAGAAAAUCAAAGCAGGUCCUCUUUGAUCCUGUUUACAGGUCUCCCCACAUGGUGUAAUCGGAGGGGUAGGACAUUGCCUGGGGCUCCUGAACAGAAACAUCUGAAGACACCACUGCUCCAGAGGCUCCGGGGGAGGCUCAAUCUUUAAAAGGUGACUUUAGAGUUAAACUGAUCUUCCAGAGAGAUCCAGUUAGAAAAAACAUUUUCAAAA
rnacentral:lncRNA from 1 species